ensembl:processed_transcript Gm15663 predicted gene 15663
UGCGUGCUCCGGGGGUUGCGGGCUCACACCGCUCUCCCCAUACCCGACAACCGCGAGAGGCAAGCGGCGAUCGGCUUCACGCCCCCCGGCGGAGAAUCGGGGCUUGUCCUUUUCCCGCGGCUCGCGGUCCCCACCCUAACCCAUGGCACUUUGGGACGCCCUAAGAUUUUACAACUUCAAAAGUAUUUAAAACUUAGCCUGCAAAAUAAAAACAUCUUCAUAAAAGUUAUGAAGACCCCGUUCUAAAGUAUACAAGCUAAAGAACUGAUUAUGUACCACAAAAGCUGUGAAGCUGAGAUCUUAAUUUUCUUGGCACUGGGUUGCAGCCCUUGGGUUGAAGAGAGCAAACGGCUGCUGAGGGCCAUGGCCAUGCACAAGGAACAACAAAUGGUCUUAAAACUC